rnacentral:rRNA from 1 species
AUUGAACGCUGGCGGAAGGCCUAACACAUGCAAGUCGAGCGGAACGGCAGCCGGGUGCGUAAUGCCUAGGAAUCUGACUGGGAGUGGGGGAUAAGGUCCAGAAAUGGGCGCUAUUACCACAUACUAUCAGAUGAGACUAUGGGGGAAUAGCUAGUUGGUGGGGUAAAGGCCUUACCAGGCGACGAUCAGUAACUGGUCUGAGAGGAUGAUACGUCACACUGGAACUGAGACACGGUCCAGACUCCUACGGGAGGCAGCAGUGGGGAAUAUUGGACAAUGGGCGAAAGCCUGAUCCAGCCAUGCCGCGUGUGUGAAGAAGGUCUUCGGAUUGUAAAGCACUUUAAGUUGGGAGGCGUUACCAACAGAAUAAGCACCGGCUAACUUCGUGCCAGCAGCCGCGGUAAUAC